AGGACGAACGCUGGCGGCGCGCUUAACACAUGCAAGUCGAGCGAGAACCGAUCCUUCGGGAUCGGGGACAGCGGCGAACGGGUGAGUAACACGUGGGUAAUCAACCCCUGGCUCUGGGAUAGCCCGAGGAAACUGGAUUAAUACCGGAUGGCCCAACAGCUCUUCGGGGCGGUUGGAAAAGGUAGCUUCGGCCUCCGGCCAAGGACGAGCCCGCGGCGGAUUAGCUUGUUGGUGGGGUAAUGGCCUACCAAGGCGACGAUCCGUAGCUGGUCUGAGAGGACGAUCAGCCACACUGGGACUGAGACACGGCCCAGACUCCUACGGGAGGCAGCAGUGGGGAAUCUUGCACAAUGGGCGAAAGCCUGAUGCAGCGACGCCGCGUGAGGGAAGAAGGCUUUCGGGUUGUAAACCUCUUUCAGCAGGGACGAAGCGAAAGUGACGGUACCUGCAGAAGAAGCACCGGCCAACUACGUGCCAGCAGCCGC
rnacentral:rRNA from 1 species